GAUGAACGCUGGCGGCGUGCCUAAUACAUGCCAGUCGAGCGAACAGACGAGGAGCUUGCUCCUCUGACGUUAGCGGCGGACGGGUGAGUAACACGUGGAUAACCUACCUAUAAGACUGGGAUAACUUCGGGAAACCGGAGCUAAUACCGGAUAAUAUAUUGAACCGCAUGGUUCAAUAGUGAAAGACGGUUUUGCUGUCACUUAUAGAUGGAUCCGCGCCGCAUUAGCUAGCUGGUAAGGUAACGGCUUACCAAGGCAACGAUGCGUAGCCGACCUGAGAGGGUGAUCGGCCACACUGGAACUGAGACACGGUCCAGACUCCUACGGGAGGCAGCAGUAGGGAAUCUUCCGCAAUGGGCGAAAGCCUGACGGAGCAACGCCGCGUGAGUGAUGAAGGUCUUCGGAUCGUAAAACUCUGUUAUUAGGGAAGAACAAAUGUGUAAGUAACUAUGCACGUCUUGACGGUACCUAAUCAGAAAGCCACGGCUAACUACGUG
rnacentral:rRNA from 1 species